AAUACCCGCAGCACUCUGGGGUUUCUUUGACAGAGACCACCCCGAAAUGGAUUUGGGAAAAUGAGCUCUCCACAAGGAAAAUCUGGUGUUCGAGGCAAAGAAUUUUCUUCUGGAGAAGAAAAGACCAACCUAGCCAAGGCUCAGAGAAAUGGAUGGAUUCUCGAUUAUGGGAGAAAAGCCAGAAAAGAUUUUCCCUCAAUCUGAUGACUGGCUUAAAAGGGAGAAGGGGAGGGAUUGCUUUUGGAACAGAUCGAUAUUAUUUAUGAAUUCAUUGAAUCUACGUGUUCAAGAAAUGGUGCCUCUGAAGAGACAUUCAAUUCAAGUCUGCCCCUUCGCUUAUAAAAUAGAAUAAAAUGUCUCUGUGAAGUUGACAAUGGAAGGGGCAUCUGUAGAUUUUGUCCCAGCUAGAAUAUAAUACAAAAACCAUCUGUGCAGGUGGUGUUACUGGCAGAUAUACAUAAUAAAGGCAUGAGUGUGG